rnacentral:rRNA from 1 species
UACGUAGGGUGCGAGCGUUAAUCGGAAUUACUGGGCGUAAAGCGUGCGCAGGCGGUUUUGUAAGCCAGGUGUGAAAUCCCCGGGCUCAACCUGGGAAUGGCAUUUGGGACUGCAAGGCUGGAGUGCGGCAGAGGAGACUGGAAUUCCUGGUGUAGCAGUGAAAUGCGUAGAUAUCAGGAGGAACACCUGUGGUGUAGACAGCUUACUGGACCACUUCUGACGCUGAGACACGAAAGCGUGGGUAGCAAACAGG